UGUGAGUGCCUUUCCAGACCAGCCCGGCUGCAGAGGGGCAGGGAGCCGGGGCUGCUGUGUGCUACUGGGCCCUGCGGUGUUAGCCCCACCGGGUCAAGAUCCCCACCCCGAACCACUGCGGAGGGUCUGUGGGUCAGCAGGGAGCGGACAGAGGGAGAGACGAGCCGGCAGCAAAGUAGCCCGCUUGCCCAGGCCCCAGCACGUCACGUCACGCCGCAGAGAGACGGAGCCUCUAUGAAGGGGAGCACUGGCCCGGACAGUCCUUGGACUUGACCCUGGGUCGCUGCACCAUCAAUGGCUGCCUUCACUCAUCCAUCAUGGAAGUCUCUCCCUCAACAAACUCAAAUAAUCCCCAUCCCUUAUCGCCAGAGGGUUGCCGCAAGUCCCCAGUGGACGCAGACACCGUGAUAGCGACGCCAGCAGUCUACCUGCUAACCCAGCCAGCUCCUGCGUGACCCACAGAGGGGCAGCGCACACAGCACAGAUGCGCUGGGCAGAGGACUGAUUCUUGCCCUGAGCGGGACAGAGGACCGGCUGAGAUUUCAUCAGACUACUCGGUGCGGCGUGCAGUUGAGAAUUUAAGAAUUGUUACCGCUGGAAUUUGCCGUGUGAUAUUUUCAACACACGACUGGGGGCAACUGGAACUAUAAAAAGUGAAGCUAUGCGCAUGUGCAGCCGCCUGUAUCUAGUCGAUGAUCCUGGUGCUCUAAACAGUGGGUUAGACAGGGGCCCCAGACAGGAAUGACAGACAGCUCGCCAUUGAGGGCUCCCGUUCCACCCAGGGAGAUAACUGUGCAAACUCACAACACAGCAGGGCGAGUGCAGGCCCGUGUGCAGGACACCUUGUGUCGUUCAGCCUCUGCGCUAAGAGAGCAUGGUCAUUAUUUGUUUACACACUGGACCUCCCCAGCGGAACUGCAGCUCUUAAGGACAGCUCUCCAGAGUCUUCUGAGAGUGCUCUGGGCCUCUGCUGAUCCCCAAGCGGAUGAGAAUGUGGGUGGGUGUGUCUCUCACACCUCUGGGGAAGGGGUAGAUACUCCAUCAGCCUGACCCUCCCCAGCCAAGGUUGGUAGAACAGGUCUAUUAGCUCCCUCCACCCUCUAGGAAGUGCAUUAUUUAAAAAAAAAACAAAAACAAAAACAAAAACAAAAACAAAAAAAAACAAGUAUCUCACAGUUCAACUGCUACAUGCAUUUAUCAGUAGCAAUUAUUAAUGCAUGAAAAGAGGACAAAAAGCUCACAAACACUCAGCACAAUUCCACAAGACACUGCAGGGGGAAAAGGGAUUGAUGUAGGUCAGCAGCACCCUAGGGUCUUGGGAGGCGCCGUUCCUGGGGCCAGUGGGCCUCUACUUCUUGGUGGAGGCGGUCUGGUUCCUAGAUGGGGCAUGCCCAAUUGGCAGGUGCAUGAUGGUCUCGUACCAGGCGGAGGAGCCAUAACGCCUGGAGGUGGGGCUGCUCUGUGGGACUCCCCUGUGCUGAUGGGUCCUGCGCUGGGGCUCCAGCAAUGUUCGUGAUAGCAGCAACAGCAAUGACCUUGUCUGCCCUGUGGAGCCAUUCCCUGCUGUGCCAGCCCCCAACUCCUCGGACAGGGGGGGCCUGCCAAUCCAGCUAAGCCUGGAGAGUUAGACCCCAGCUGAUCCUCCUCUGGCAGCCGCUCUCCCAGAGCUGUGGUACCCAAGCAAUGCCAGUGCCUUUGGGAAGUGGACCCCUCCACAGUCACGGACACCAAGUUCUCCCCACACAGGGACACCACACCCAAAACCUGCUUUUCUCCAUGCUCUGCUUGCCCCACAUUCUUCAACUUUGUCUUCCUGAACUCAUCACCAUCACAGAAGAUCCAACUUACACGCUUGUCAGAAGCCCAGAAGGGGCCAAGGAAGACUGGGCUGUCUUGUGGGGCACAUCUCAUUCUAUAGCGUGCAGCAUCUUGCUACUCUCACCCACGGUCAUGACUGCCGUUCCCCUGGAUCCAACAUUCAAAAUCUCAGGACCCCUAGGACCUACGGGAAGGCGAUGGAGAAAUGCCGGGAGCAGGUUCUCCUAGGAACAAGGCGAGCUGGGCAGAGGUUUCACAGACAGCCUUGUUUGGGCUCAGAAUUCAGCUAUCUUGAUAUUUGAACUCUGCUUUAACUAGCUGGUGGCGUCUCAGCUAAGAAUGCCCACCUCAGUUCCCCCUGGAAAUCCACCAGUUCCCCAGAAAUCCACCGCACAUACUUGCUGCCGCUGCGUCUUGGGUCCGACUUGACCCUGUUGGCUGUUCAGCAAAGCCGCCCUCCCAUGUUUGACGGACUCCCACUUCUGGCACGUGCCGCUCUGUGGCUGCCUCAGGUGCUGAUGUAGGCAGGCAUACAGGAUAAAAUUGAUCAGGUUUGUGAGCUGGAAGACCACGCCCCUGUGUGACCGCAUGCCCCUACCUGGCCACACCUGUGUACCCACCAGCCAAUCAGGUUCAUUAACCACUCCCUUUUGGAAGUGGAUU